rnacentral:ncRNA from 1 species
UUGAGCCGUGUACCGGGUGAUCGGUAUGCGCGGUUCUGAGGGGAGGGGAUGAUGGUGACAUCAUCUCCUUACCCGAC